GCAGAGGGCCUGGGAUUUCAGGCGGAAGGGUUUGGUCUCCCACGUGGAAGGCAGGAAGGAGCCAUUGGCGACAGCCGAGCAGAGUCUGACUGUGCCAACCGAUAUUUCAGAAUAAGCUGAGAGAGCUUAAGAGAGUGGAUUGGCACAGGCAAAUCUGAUGUUGAGGAGCCCGGGUUGGGGGUUAUUGCCACAGUGAAAGGCAGAGUUGCAAGGUUAUUCUCAGCUUUACCCCUGGAGCCAGAAGAGCUUGGAGCAAAUGUUGACUCAACUGCUUAUAGCCACAUGAUCUCAGGUGGAACCAGAGAUUCGUGGCUGCUGUGAGUAGGUGCUUCUGACGGGGAAAGAAGGACAAGAUGAGAGAUGACAAAAUGGAGGCUUUCAGAGAUGAAGCCCUGGUGACAGUCACAACCAGUGUCCUUUGAGAGCCCACUGCAAAGCCCGGGCUUCCUCUUGCCCAGUUGCUCGAAGAGACCCGACCUUUUCCUUCCAAGCCUGUAGGCUGUCUGGGAGACCUCUCCAAGCCAGCCACAUCCCGCUUCGGAGCAGGCCCGUUCCGUUGUUACAGACUCUCCACUAAGAUGCCCUCUUCCCUAAGCCUGUGGGGAGCCAGACAAGGCCUGGAAGGAAGGACCGAUACAGGGCUGUUCUUCCUCGCCCACGCUUCCCACCAGGAACUUCUGUGGAGCCAGAGUUUGCCGCCAGGACCCCCACAGGACCUGGGUGAAACAGGACCAUCUCUUAAGAGGCAAGAGCUCUUGAUUUGAUUGAGGAUUCUUAUUUUGGAGAACAAAGCAACUUCCAGAUUUGAGAAGACCUACAGUUGAAGAAGACACCAUUGUCCCGGAUCCCUUGUUCUUCCUUCGCGUGGGAAAUGUUUCUUGGCGGGUUCCUGGUCUUAAGACUCCCCCACACCGGCCCCGGGGAAGCCAAGGACUUUCUGCCACACCCUUCCUCGCCCCCCACCUCCCACGUCCGCUGUGCCUUUGGACUCGGCAAUUCUUCUUGUUUGCUCCAUUAUCUUCCAGCCGGAUACAGAGUGAAUAGUUAACUACCCGCAGGUCAAUGGGGUCUUAAUUUUUGUUCCUGCUCCCUCUACAGAGGCCAGUGUCUGUGUGUUGCUAUGCAAGCGGCCUUGGAAUUGCAUCCCUUCUCAUUGAUUUGGGAUCUGGCCCCCGCAGGUUCCAGAGCAAUGCGGGUCCAGGCAGAAAUUCUUCAGGCUCUCAGGAUGUUGGAGGGGGCGCUGGCCGCGAGCUGGACCAUGAAGGCUGGCGUUCCCCACAUUCAGCUUUCUUGGGUUCGGAUCAUAAGCAGGUGUAGAUCUGGAGAAGCAGAAAAUGAACACAUUUUCUACUGACACCGAUGCACGGUCAACGGUGAAGACCUUCUCCCAGCUAGCAUUUGGGUUCUGUGUCCAAACGCGGCGCUUCAUGGCAGAGUAUCCAGCCACCAGAGUUGGUGUGUCUUGAGGACCUGAAUUCUUGAGUGUGUGCUGGUGACACAGCCCUCUGACAGUCGAUGGGGCCUCACAAAACACAAGUCCUGCCUUUUCCUUUUCACUCUGUGGCCGUCAUACAUACGGCUAAAAACAUUUCCUAGAGAUCAGUCAUGGUUCAGUCGUGUCCAAAACGCAGAGCCAAAGAUGCAUUUUCUCUUUUCACAGCAAAUGAAUGACUUGCCUUCGGAAAAAGAAUGAAAGCCAGACAUUCUGCAUCUUUCCCGUGUUGUAGAUGAUGCAUUUGGAUGACCACUUUGUGACUUUGGUGUCUUAGAAGGGAAGCAGUGGGGUCCUUGGCAUCUCAGAUUCACCACAAAACAGACGAGGAGAACUUCUGGAGGAUGGUUUGUGCUUUUGAAAUGGGAGGCUUGUUUGUGGGCUUUUACCUUCCUUCCUUGACCUGCAGACACCUCAUUGCAUUAGAUUCCUUUGGGUUUUAAGAAGCAGAGACUUGCUGAUACUGCUCCGUACGUGCUGGUUUGUUUCGAGUUGCCAUGGACGUAAAGAAGAAAGGAAGCAGCCCGCCGAGGCGCUCUCCACCUAGGCCUGCCCAAGAAGCCCAAGUCGUUCCAGAUAGCCAGGGAUAGCAGAACCGAACCACCCUGGCCAUCUUGAUCUUCUGUUUGCACCAGCAUCCACUGUUCCCAGGAUCCUACCAUGGUGAUGAGCUGAGGGUGACUCAGUUGGCCCAGGACUGAGGAGUUUCCUGGGAUGCAGGACUUUUUAGUGCUAAACCUAGGACAGUCCUAAGCAAACUGGAACAACCAGUCACCCUACUGGGUGACUCGAGGACCCUGCCUCUCUUCUACUUUCCCUGCUGUGACUGGCUGAUGCUCUUGAUGGGUCUGGCCAGUCGCCAUUCAAAACUCUUGCGUCAGGCAACUUCAUUGGCCACUGGGCUACCUAUAGAUGGGUGCCCGUGGACCCAGCACCAACCCAUCUUGACCAGAUUUGUUGUUUCCAGGGUCAUAGGGUUGCAUAAUCUAGAAUAAAAGCCUGGCUGUAAACAACCAGCUGAGACCACUUCCUUCAGAAGACUGCUGUGGACAGGUGGCCCUGGCAGGCAUUCAAGGUAUCAGGGGUUCCUAUCUGAUACAACCCAACUUAUAAAGAUGGUAUUAACCUUUUCUAUUAAGAACCAAACAGUUCAUUAUGAAACAGAAACAAAUAUAGCCACUGGGAACAAGGGG
rnacentral:lncRNA from 1 species